rnacentral:rRNA from 1 species
GAGGGGGUGCAAACGUUAUUCGGAUUUACUGGGUGUAAAGGGUGUGUAGACGGGUUAUUAAGUUCGUUGUUAAGUCUUCCGGGCCUAACCGGGAAGCUCGCGAUGAAAACUAAUAGUCUUGAGGAUGGAAGAGAGAAGUGGAAUUCUCGGAGUAGCGGUAAAAUGCGUAGAUCUCGAGAGGAACACCGAUGGCGAAGGCAGCUUCUUGGUCCAUUCCUGACGUUGAAACACGAAAGCGUGGGUAGCAAACAGGAUUAGAUACCCUGGUAGUCCACGCCGUAAACGAUGAUCACUAGAUGUUGGCCCUGUUUUGCAUGGUUAGUAUCGAAGCUAACGCGCUAAGUGAUCCACCUGGGAACUACGAUCGCAAGAUUA